UGGGGAAUAUUGGACAAUGGGCGCAAGCCUGAUCCAGCCAUGCCGCGUGAGUGGUGAAGGCCCUAGGGUUGUAAAGCUCUUUCGCCAGGGACGAUAAUGACGGUACCUGGAUAAGAAGCCCCGGCUAACUUCGUGCCAGCAGCCGCGGUAAUACGAAGGGGGCUAGCGUUGUUCGGAAUCACUGGGCGUAAAGCGCACGUAGGCGGAUCUUUAAGUCAGGGGUGAAAUCCCGAGGCUCGACCUCGGAACUGCCUUUGAUACUGGAGGUCUCGAGUCCGGGAGAGGUGAGUGGAACUGCGAGUGUAGGGGUGAAAUUCGCAGAUAUUCGCAAGAACACCAGUGGCGAAGGCGGCUCACUGGCCCGGUACUGACGCUGAGGUGCGAAAGCNUGGGGAGCAAACAGGAUUAGAUACCCUGGUAGUCCACGCCGUAAACUAUGGAUGCUAGCCGUUGGGCAGCUUGCUGUUCAGUGCGCAGCUAACGCUUUAAGCAUCCCGCCUGGGGAGUACGGUCGCAAGAUU
rnacentral:rRNA from 1 species